GUCUUACAAGGUGGUAUCAGAGCCAGGUUGAUUCUAGGAUAGUUGGGUUAUGUAGUCCACACACACACACGCAGCCAGCUGAUUAGGUCUCACGGUGAGGUUUGAUUGCUUAGUCUAGGGAUUGUUUUGUUCUGUUUAGGGUUAGUGUAACGGCCCGGUUCCUGGCCCAUAAAUUUCUUUAGGAAUAUGGGCUUCUCUACGGCCCAUUUGGCAAAGACCUAGGGUUUUCCCUUCCUCUUUCCUAUAAAAAGGAGAUGCAGCCUCCCUUUUUGCCUCACUCAGAAACUGAAGCGAAGCUCUGCAGAGAAUUCCCGGAGACUAGAAACCCUAGCCGUCGAGCUCUCUCCCCUUCUCUCUUGCGCCACCUCUCUCUCUUCUCUCUCUCUCUCCUCGCCGUCACUCUCUCUCUCCUCACCGCCACACUCUCUCUCUCCUCGCCGGCGCCGUGUGGUGGUGGUGGUGACCAGAUCUCAACCUUCCCACAUCUUUGUUUCCAGAUCCAGAUCUAGACUAAGGUGGAGUGUCUUGAACCCAUCUUGUUCUCAUGUUCUGUAUACUCCUUUAUGUUGGAGUUAGGUUUGAUUAGACCCUGUUUGAGAGCUAGGAUGAUAGAACAUGGAUAUUACUAGGAUGAUAGAUGAAUGGAUCAUGAUGCAUAAGAACCCUCACACUGUUAAAUGGGACUUAAUGAACUGAAUUGAAUUGUUGUGGUGAUGAUUGAUUGGUAAUUGAUGCUUGUAUGUUUGGAUGUGUAGUCCCAUGAGUGGUUUGCGAUUAAAGCUAGGAUGGUAGAAAGAAGUGAAUGCUAGGUUGAUAGAUGAGAAAUGAAUGUUAAGGUUAUUGAGUAGAACUUGAGUGCGACGUGUAUUGUGUGUGACACCGAUAACGGGUGGCGUCUAGUGAAUGAGUAUAAGUACAAGUGUAAGUGAAAAAGGAAAGUGAAUGAAAAUGAGAAAGGAUAAGUAAAAGUGAUAAGGAUGUGAAAGAUGUAAGGAUAAGUGAAUGUAUAAGAGAAUAAUGUUAAGGUUAAGCAUGGGUUGGGAAAUCAUAUAGAGUCUAAGGAAAGUAUGUGUGGCAGUAGUUCCACGCUAGGUAUCCAUAGGAAAUGUGGCGAAUCCACCAGAAUAUGGAUGCACCCAUAGGAGAUGUGGCGAAUCCACAAGAAUAUGGGGUAGAAGCCUAGUAGGAGCUACCCACAGUGAUAAGAAACGAAGUGCCAACCGCGAGAGGCGGGAUAUAAAAACGUGCAUUGUAGAGUCCUUAGUCCAUGGUCGGGUAACGGGGUGUUAAAGUUGUCGUAGGAUGGAGUCGGUCUGGUAAGAUGCAUCAGUUAAGUCUAGGGUUUGACGUGUGUGACAAUGAGUGAGAUCAUUGUAUUGAUUGAUCAUUAGGUUGCUAGAAAUGUUUGGAAUUAAUGAUGACGAUAGAAAAUGAUAAGAUGCAUUAACUGAUUGUAGUGGCUAGUCAGUCCUAGUUCCCGCAUAGAGUAGUAUAAAGUGUCAUGCGGGCAGGCUGGUCUAGAGUCACUUCACUGAGUAACUUGUUGCUCAUUCCUCCAUUUCCAUUUUCCUGUGCGCAUGACUGUAAGUAGAAGUAUAUGGAUGUGGGUGUGACGGUAUUUCAAAGAAGGUUAUGCGUCCGUCGAAUCUUGGGACCAGUAACGGAACACGUAGGGUUGUCUAAAUGAGUAGACACGUGUCCAUAACGCCCUUUCGAUAAUUCUGGUGGGACGCCAGGGGAUCGGGCCGUUACAAUUGGUAUCAGAGCGGGUUAAGAUCCCUUAGUUCUGUCCUAAGGGAUCAGCAUUUCCGACGUUUUCAAAAAAAAAAAAAAAAAAAAAA